rnacentral:rRNA from 1 species
UAGCAUAUCAAUAAGCGGAGGAAAAGAAACCAACAGGGAUUGCCCUAGUAACGGCGAGUGAAGCGGCAACAGCUCAAAUUUGAAAUCUGGCUUCGGCCCGAGUUGUAAUUUGUAGAGGAUGCUUUGGGCGCGGCUCUAACUGAGUUCCCUGGAACGGGACGCCACAGAGGGUGAGAGCCCCGUAUAGUUAGAUGCCUAGCCUAUGUAAAGCUCCUUCGACGAGUCGAGUAGUUUGGGAAUGCUGCUCUAAAUGGGAGGUAAAUUUCUUCUAAAGCUAAAUAUUGGCCAGAGACCGAUAGCGCACAAGUAGAGUGAUCGAAAGAUGAAAAGCACUUUGAAAAGAGGGUUAAAUAGCACGUGAAAUUGUUGAAAGGGAAGCGCUUGUGACCAGACUUGCGCCGGGCAGAUCAUCCGGUGUUCUCACCGGUGCACUCUGCCCGGCUCAGGCCAGCAUCGGUUCUCGUGGGGGGAUAAAGGUCCCGGGAACGUAGCUCCUCCGGGAGUGUUAUAGCCCGGGGCGUAAUGCCCUCGUGGGGACCGAGGUUCGCGCAUCUGCAAGGAUGCUGGCGUAAUGGUCAUCAGCGACCCGUCUUGAAACACGGACCAAGGAGUCAAGGUUUUGCGCGAGUGUUUGGGUGUAAAACCCGCACGCGUAAUGAAAGUGAACGUAGGUGAGAGCUUCGGCGCAUCAUCGACCGAUCCUGAUGUAUUCGGAUGGAUUUGAGUAAGAGCGUUAAGCCUUGGACCCGAAAGAUGGUGAACUAUGCUUGGAUAGGGUGAAGCCAGAGGAAACUCUGGUGGAGGCUCGCAGCGGUUCUGACGUGCAAAUCGAUCGUCAAAUCUGAGCAUGGGGGGCGAAAGACUAAUCGAACCAUCUAGUAGCUGGUUACCGCCGA